UACGAAGGGGGCUAGCGUUGCUCGGAAUCACUGGGCGUAAAGCGCACGUAGGCGGAUCUUUAAGUCAGGGGUGAAAUCCUGGAGCUCAACUCCAGAACUGCCUUUGAUACUGGGGAUCUCGAGUCCGGGAGAGGUGAGUGGAACUCCGAGUGUAGAGGUGAAAUUCGUAGAUAUCUGGAGGAAUACCGGUGGCGAAGGCGGCAUCCUGGACCGACAUUGACGCUGAGGAGCGAAAGCUAGGGGAGCAAACGGG
rnacentral:rRNA from 1 species